rnacentral:rRNA from 1 species
GAUGAACGCUAGCGGCAGGCCUAACACAUGCAAGUCGAGGGGUAACAUAGAGAAGCUUGCUUUUCUGAUGACGACCGGCGCACGGGUGCGUAACGCGUAUACAACCUACCUUUUAGCGGGGAAUAGCCCAGGGAAACUUGGAUUAAUGCCCCAUAGUAUAUAGACUUCUCCUGAAGUUUAUAUUAAACAUUUAUGGCUAUUAGAUGGGUAUGCGUCCUAUUAGUUAGUUGGUAAGGUAACGGCUUACCAAGGCAGCGAUAGGUAGGGGUCCUGAGAGGGAGAUCCCCACACUGGUACUGAGACACGGACCAGACUCCUACGGGAGGCAGCAGUGAGGAAUAUUGGACAAUGGGCGAGAGCCUGAUCCAGCCAUGCCGCGUGCAGGAAGACUGCCCUAUGGGUUGUAAACUGCUUUUACAGAGGAAGAACCACCCCCACGUGUGGGGGUUUGACGGUACUCUGCGAAUAAGGAUCGGCUAACUCCGUG